rnacentral:rRNA from 1 species
GACGGGGGGUGCAAGCGUUAUCCGGAAUCACUGGGCGUAAAGCGUCUGUAGGUGGUGAUGCAAGUCACUGGUGCAAAACUCUGGCUCAACCGGAGGAAAGCCAGUGAAACUGCAUGACUAGAGUGUGGGAGAGGUAGAAGGAAUUCCCUGAGUAGCGGUGAAAUGCGUAGAUACAGGGAAGAACACCGGGAGCGAAAGCGUUCUACUGGAACAUAACUGACACUGAGAUACGAAAGCUAGGGGAGCGAAUAGG